rnacentral:rRNA from 1 species
UGCAAGUCGAGCGGACAGAUGGGAGCUUGCUCCCUGAUGUUAGCGGCGGACGGGUGAGUAACACGUGGGUAACCUGCCUGUAAGACUGGGAUAACUCCGGGAAACCGGGGCUAAUACCGGAUGCUUGAUUGAACCGCAUGGUUCAAUUAUAAAAGGUGGCUUUUACCUACCACUUACAGAUGGACCCGCGGCGCAUUACCUAGUUGGUGAGGUAACGGCUCACCAAGGCAACGAUGCGUACCCAACCUGAAAGGGUGAUCGGCCACACUGGGACUGAAACACGGCCCAAACUCCUACGGGAGGCAGCAGUAGGGAAUCUUCCGCAAUGGACGAAAGUCUGACGGAGCAACGCCGCGUGAGUGAUGAAGGUUUUCGGAUCGUAAAACUCUGUUGUUAGGGAAAAACAAGUACCGUUCGAAUAGGGCGGUACCUUGACGGUACCUAACCAAAAAGCCACGGCUAACUACGUGCCAGCAGCCGCGGUAAUACUUAGGUGGCAAGCGUUGUCCGGAAUUAUUGGGCGUAAAGCGCGCGCAGGCGGUUUCUUAAGU